GUUAUCUAACACAUUUUGAAAACACUCUGACUCUAGAUUAUGUCUGAACACAUUUGCCUUUGUAUCAUCCCAUUGAAACUUAUAAACAAAUGCACUCCAGUCCGUGCAUUAAAAUCACCACCAAUAAAGAAAUGAACAUCAUCAUAUUUCAUGAGAAAAUCA